AUUGAACGCUGGCGGCAGGCCUAACACAUGCAAGUCGAACGAGUGGCGGACGGGUGAGUAAUGUCUGGGAAACUGCCUGAUGGAGGGGGAUAACUACUGGAAACGGUAGCUAAUACCGCAUACCAUCGGAUGUGCCCAGAUGGGAUUAGCUGGUAGGUGGGGUAAAGUCUCACCUAGGCGACGAUCCCUAGCUGGUCUGAGAGGAUGACCAGCCACACUGGAACUGAGACACGGGCCAGACUCCUACGGGAGGCAGCAGUGGGGAAUAUUGCACAAUGGGCGCAAGCCUAAUGCAGCCAUGCCGCGGGUAUGAAGAAGGCCUUCGGGUUGUAAAGUACUGUCAUCGGGGAGGCGUUACCCGCAGAAGAAGCACCGGCUAACUCCGUGCCAGCAGCCGCGGUAAUAC
rnacentral:rRNA from 1 species